rnacentral:rRNA from 1 species
UGAGGAAUAUUGCGCAAUGGGGGCAACCCUGACGCAGCAACGCCGCGUGAGUGAAGAAGGCCUUCGGGUUGUAAAGCUCUGUCAGGCGGGAAGAAACUUCCGCAGGUAAAUAGCCUGUGGAACUGACGGUACCGCCAAAGGAAGCACCGGCUAACUCCGUGCCAGCAGCCGCGGUAAGACGGAGGGUGCAAGCGUUGUUCGGAAUCACUGGGCGUAAAGCGCGUGUAGGCGGUUUGGUAAGUCGAGUGUGAAAUCCCGAGGCUUAACUUCGGAAGUGCACUCGAAACUGUCAGGCUUGAGUACGGGAGAGGGAAGUGGAAUUCCUGGUGUAGAGGUGAAAUUCGUAGAUAUCAGGAGGAACACCGGUGGCGAAGGCGGCUUCCUGGACCGAUACUGACGCUGAGACGCGAAAGCGUGGGGAGCAAACAGG